rnacentral:rRNA from 1 species
CCCUUAGAUGUUCUGGGCCGCACGCGCGCUACACUGAUGCAUUCAUCGAGCCUAUCCUUGACCGACAGGUCCGGGUAAUCUUUGAAUCUGCAUCGUGACGGGGAUAGAUUAUUGCAAUUAUUAAUCUUCAACGAGGAAUGCCUAGUAGGCGCAAGUCAUCAGCUUGCGUCGAUUACGUCCCUGCCCUUUGUACACACCGCCCGUCGCUCCUACCGAUUGGGUGUGCUGGUGAAAUGUUCGGAUCGGCCGUUUGUCGCGGUUUCCGCGUCAUGUGGCUGAGAAGUUCAUUAAACCCUCCCACCUAGAGGAAGGAGAAGUCGUAACA